rnacentral:rRNA from 1 species
GAUGAACGCUGGCGGUAUGCUUAACACAUGCAAGUCGAACGGACUCUUCGGAGUUAGUGGCGGACGGGUGAGUAACGCGUGAGAAUCUGGCUUUGGGUUCGGGACAACCACUGGAAACGGUGGCUAAUACCGGAUGUGCCGAGAGGUAAAAGAGAAAUUGCCUGAAGAUGAGCUCGCGUCUGAUUAGCUAGUUGGUGAGGUAAAGGGCCACCAAGGCAGCGAUCAGUAGCUGGUCUGAGAGGAUGACCAGCCACACUGGGACUGAGACACGGCCCAGACUCCUACGGGAGGCAGCAGUGGGGAAUAUACCGCAAUGGGCGAAAGCGUGACAGAGCAAUACCGCGUGAGGGAAGUAGGCGCUUGGGUGGUAAACCUCUUUUCUUAGGGAAGAACAAAAGGACGGAACCUAAGGAUACAGCAUCGGCAAACUCGUG